rnacentral:tRNA from 1 species
ACGUGCUCUUGGCGACCGGGGUGACGCCGACCGCCUUCAGGGCGGCCGCUGCCGUCGCGGUGUCGUCCUGGCCGACGUACGCGUC